GGAUGCGAUCAUACCAGCACUAAAGCACCGGAUCCCAUCAGAACUCCGAAGUUAAGCGUGCUUGGCGUGCUUGGGCGAGAGUAGUACUAGGAUGGGUGACCUCCUGGGAAGUCCUUGUGUUGCAUUCC
rnacentral:rRNA from 1 species